ACUGUCCUCUGUGACUCCGUGUAGACAGCGACACGGCGGUGUAGCCGGAGCUACGUGUCGGCGGGCGAGUGGGAAGCCUUCAAGCAGGACAUGCUGCGCGAGAUGUGAGCACAGCUCACGCAGAUCAAGCGAGAGAUACUCGACGCCAUGAAAGCGGAAUUCGCGCGCAGGUAAAGCACGCCACGACGCAUCGAGUGUUAACUAGUCCAUCGCAGCCGCAUACUGGUGAACAUGUUUUAUUCUCCUACUCUUCAAGAACAAGAAAAAACUUAAAUCGGGGGCGAGCUGUGCCUUGAGAAAAUUCUAUACCUCCUCAUUUAGAACAAGAAAAAACACAAUUCGGGGGCAAGCUAUGUCUUUGGGCAAU